rnacentral:rRNA from 1 species
UACGUAGGGGGCAAGCGUUGUCCGGAAUCAUUGGGCGUAAAGGGCGCGUAGGUGGCCCGGUCAGUCCGUGGUGAAAGCGCGGGGCUCAACCCUGCGUCGGCCAUGGAUACUGCCGCGGCUGGAGCACUGUAGAGGCAGGCGGAAUUCCGGGUGUAGCGGUGGAAUGCGUAGAGAUCCGGAAGAACACCGGUGGCGAAGGCGGCCUGCUGGGCAGUAGCCGAAAGGCUUUCAAGCUGACACUGAGGCGCGACAGCGUGGGGAGCAAACAGG